GGGGGUAUAGCUUAAUGGCAGAGUGUGUGCUUAGCAUGCAUGAGGUCCUGGGUUCAACCCCCAGUACUUCCA
rfam:Camelus ferus unplaced genomic scaffold scaffold1616, whole genome shotgun sequence.